GAAUCCCGUCUUUGGCACGGAUGCCUGGUGCUUCUGUGAUGCGCUCUCGAAGAGUCGAGUUGUUUGGGAAUGCAGCUCAAAAUGGGUGGUGAACUCCAUCUAAAGCUAAAUAUUGGCGAGAGACCGAUAGCGAACAAGUACCGUGAGGGAAAGAUGAAAAGAACUUUGGAAAGAGAGUUAAACAGUACGUGAAAUUGCUGAAAGGGAAACGCUUGAAGUCAGUCGCGUUGGCUAGAAAUCAACCUUGCUUUUGCUUUGUGUACUUUCUGGUUGACGGGUCAGCAUCAAUUUUGACCACUGGAUAAAGUCUUUGGGAAUGUGGCAUCUUUGGAUGUGUUAUAGCCCAUUGUCGCAUACGGUGGUUGGGAUUGAGGAACUCAGCACGCCGCAAGGCCGGGUUUCGACCACGUUCGUGCUUAGGAUGCUGGCAUAAUGGCUUUAAUCGACCCGUCUUGAAACACGGACCAAGGAGUCUAACAUGCCUGCGAGUGUUUGGGUGGAAAAACCCAUGCGCGCAAUGAAAGUGAAAGUUGAGAUCCUCUUCAAAGGGGGAGCAUUGACGCCCGGACCAGACCUUUUGUGACGGAUCCGCGGUAGAGCAUGCAUGUUGGGACCCGAAAGAUGGUGAACUAUGCCUGAAUAGGGUGAAGCCAGAGGAAACUCUGGUGGAGGCUCGUAGCGAUUCUGACGUGCAAAUCGAUCGUCAAAUUUGGGUAUGGGGGCGAAAGACUAAUCGAACCAUCCAGUAGCUGGUUCCUGCC
rnacentral:rRNA from 1 species